rnacentral:rRNA from 1 species
CUUUUGAAAGGUCAGCGGCGGACGGGUGAGUAACACGUGGGCAACCUGCCUGUAAGACUGGGAUAACUUCGGGAAACCGGAGCUAAUACCGGAUAAUAUAAGGAACCUCCUGGUUCUUUAUUGAAAGAUGGUUUCGGCUAUCACUUACAGAUGGGCCCGCGGCGCAUUAGCUAGUUGGUGAGGUAACGGCUCACCAAGGCGACGAUGCGUAGCCGACCUGAGAGGGUGAUCGGCCACACUGGGACUGAGACACGGCCCAGACUCCUACGGGAGGCAGCAGUAGGGAAUCUUCCACAAUGGACGAAAGUCUGAUGGAGCAACGCCGCGUGAGCGAUGAAGGCCUUCGGGUCGUAAAGCUCUGUUGUUAGGGAAGAACAAGUGCGAGAGUAACUGCUCGCACCUUGACGGUACCUAACCAGAAAGCCACGGCUAACUACGUGCCAGCAGCCGCGGUAAUACGUAGGUGGCAAGCGUUGUCCGGAAUUAUUGGGCGUAAAGCGCGCGCAGGUGGUCCUUUAAGUCUGAUGUGAAAGCCCACGGCUCAACCGUGGAGGGUCAUUGGAAACUGGGGGACUUGAGUGCAGAAGAGGAAAGUGGAA